GACGUAGGGGGCGAGCGUUGUCCGGAAUCACUGGGCGUAAAGAGCUCGUAGGCGGGGUUGCGCGUCGCGGAGUAAAUCCAUCUGCUCAACGGGUGGUUCAUCUGCGAUACGGCGACUCUUGAGGACAGGAGAGGAAAGCAGAAUUCCGAGUGUAGCGGUGAAAUGCGUAGAUAUUCGGAGGAAUACCAGUGGCGAAGGCGGCUUUCUGGCCUGAUUCUGACGCUGAGGAGCGAAAGCCAGGGGAGCAAACGGG
rnacentral:rRNA from 1 species